rnacentral:rRNA from 1 species
GACGAACGCUGGCGGCGUGCUUAACACAUGCAAGUCGAACGGAAAGGCUCCAGCUUGCUGGAGUACUCGAGUGGCGAACGGGUGAGUAACACGUGGGUAAUCUGCCCUGCACUCUGGGAUAAGCCUGGGAAACUGGGUCUAAUACUGGAUAUGACCUUUCUCCUUAUGGGGUUUGGUGGAAAGUUUUUCGGUGUAGGAUGAGCCCGCGGCCUAUCAGCUUGUUGGUGGGGUGAUGGCCUACCAAGGCGACGACGGGUAGCCGGCCUGAGAGGGUGAUCGGCCACAUUGGGACUGAGAUACGACCCAGACUCAUACGGGAGGCAGCAGUGGGGAAUAUUGCACAAUGGGCGGCAGGAUGAUGCAGCGACGCCGCGUGAGGGAUGACGGCCUUCGGGUUGUAAACCUCUUUCGGCAGGGACGAAGCGUAAGUGACGGUACCUGCAGAAGAAGCACCGGCUAACUAUGUG